UACAGAGGGGGCAAGCGUUGUUCGGAAUUACUGGGCGUAAAGAGCUCGUAGGCGGUUUGUCGCGUCUGCCGUGAAAGUCCGGGGCUCAACUCCGGAUCUGCGGUGGGUACGGGCAGACUAGAGUGAUGUAGGGGAGACUGGAAUUCCUGGUGUAGCGGUGAAAUGCGCAGAUAUCAGGAGGAACACCGGUGGCGAAGGCGGGUCUCUGGGCCGUAACUGACGCUGAGGAGCGAAAGCAUGGGGAGCGAACAGG
rnacentral:rRNA from 1 species